GACGAACGCUGGCGGCGUGCCUAAUACAUGCAAGUUGAGCGAGGAAGAUUGGUGCUUGCACCAAUUUGAAGAGCAGCGAACGGGUGAGUAACGCGUGGGGAAUCUGCCUUUGAGCGGGGGACAACAAUUGGAAACGAAUGCUAAUACCGCAUAACAACUUUAAAAAUAAGUAUUAAGUUUGAAAGAUGCAAUUGCAUCACUCAAAGAUGAUCCCGCGUUGUAUUAGCUAGUUGGUGAGGUAAAGGCUCACCAAGGAGAUGAUACAUAGCCGACCUGAGAGGGUUGUCGGCCACACUGGGACGGGGACACGGCCCAACCUCCUACGGGAGGCAGCCGUAGGGAAUCUUCGGCAAUGGACGAAAGUCUGACCGAGCAACGCCGCGGGAGUGAAGGAUGUUUUCGGGUCGUAAAACUCUUUUGGUAGAGAAGAACGUUGGUGAGAGUGGAAAGCUCAUCAAGUGACGGUACCUACCCAGAAAGCGACGGCUAACUACGUG
rnacentral:rRNA from 1 species